UUCCAUUGGGAUAUCGAUAUCUUGAAUCUAGUAAUAAGGUGAAAGAUGAUUAGCUUAUGGGACUGUUGAAAUCCCCUUCAAGUAAAUGGUUCAACUUUUUACCUUAAUUUUACCUCUCAAUUUGUAAAAUUUGCUGCGUUUAAUCAUUUUUUACCUAUUCUAUUGUUUGUCGAGGAAAUUUUAAACAAAAGUUUGAUUGUUAUUUCUAUAGGUGUUGUUGGUGUUACGGUUCACUCGAUAAUGUUACCGUAUACAUCCUAAAGUCGAUUGACCUUGCUUUAAAACUAAUAGUUAACCAAGUGAAACGUUGAACGUGGCUUGUGUGUUUGUCAACAGUGUCAUAUUAUAUAACAGCAAGUUGAUUGACAGAGCAUCUUGAAUCAGUCUUGUGUAACUUUAUCUGGCAAGGAAAAAUAACAAGCCACAUAGACUUGGAGUUACAUGAUUUAAGGUUACACAUUGGCUAGAGAAAGUCAACAUCUUGCCGCUAUAAAGCAGCUGAAUUUUUGGAUGGAACCAAGGAAAAGCUCUAGCCAUAGAUUAGUGUAUUGGUUUUUGGUACAAGUCAACAAUAUGAUCAAAUCUAGUAAUCAUAGAUAUGUAUACCAGUAUAACUAUUAUCCUGAUUAUUUAAUUAUAGUUUGAAGAAAAGAAAAGAAAAAGCCAUAUUGUACAGCACCAAACAACUCAGCAGGAAUAGAUGAAGACAUGAAUAUGAUGUCUUUCCAGUGUCAACGCUCUAGGAGGCCCUUUUUGCUAAUCAUCAUCAUUACAUUAUUUGCCAGUGUUACUGGUACAUAAACAGGGGAAGAGAGAUAGAAAGAAAUAAAAGUAAAGCAAAACAUGGUGGGUCCAUCAUUUUACCAGGCAACUGUGUCAUCAUCAUCAUCAUCAUCAGAGCUCUAUCAUACUAAUCAACUUCCAUACACACAACUAUUUCUCUCCUCCUUCUCCAUUCCAUUUAUCUCUAUGUCACUUUUUCUGCUUCUAUUUUGACUUUCCUUCUUUUUAUCUCUUAUUCCUCAUAUCAAAGCAAUUAUUAGUUGAUUCCCUGUGAUCUGCAAUUAUUAUAGUUGCCAUUAUUAUGACACUACUUUUACUACUACCACUAUGAUCAUUAUUACUGUUAUAAUUAUUGUUAUUAUCGUUGUAUUUAGGCUUAUGUUUAGAUGAGUUUAUGCUUUGGUUGUAAAAAUAGCGUCUUAAGAAGGGGGAAAGAAGGAAAAAAUGUUGAAAAGAAGCAGCUAAUGUGUAUUAAUGUUGCAAAAAAACAGGACUGAGCCAGAAACAAAAAUACAGGUAUCCGUUUUGUUUGCUGAUAUAGGGAUGAAUGGUUGAAAUAGAAAGGAGUAAACAUCAACUGGAACUUGCCAUCAUUCAGAUUAGGUGUGACUCCAUCAGUCUAAUAAGUUCUGGUUCCAUUCCAAAUACAAUAAUCCUGGUCUUUCCUUUUUCUUUCUGCCCUCCUGGUUUUGACCUUUGCCAAAAAAAGAAACUACUUUGUUCAUCUUUUGUACACCAUCAGCCAUCAUCACCACCAACACCACCAAUACUGCAACCUACCACCACCAAUCGUUUAAUUGUAGGAAAACCGAUAAAUGGAAUAGCGAGACAUUUGAAUGACCUGACAAGUGAUAGUGACCUUGACCUAAGAAAUGAAUGGCCUUGCAAGGAUAAAUGACAGAGCACUGAAUGGCAAAAAAAAGAAGAAGAAUGAAGGAAGAAAAGGCAAAAAAGAGCUGAAGAGCUUUGAUGAUGAAUACAAAGAGAUGAAAAUAUUGCACAAAAGAUGGUUAAAGAAAAGAUGAAAAAGGAGAAAAGGAAAACGGAAGAAUGAAGAGUGAAAAAAGAGACAAUUGAAAAAGGAUGAUGCUCAUGAUGAUGGUGGAGAUGAAGAUGAGGAAAAAAAAGAAAGUAGGAAAAAUUAUUCAGUGAUGCUGCUGAUGAUGAGCCAUGGCCAUUGUUUAACCCUGUUGAUGGUGAUGAAGGGAGAAGAGUGAUUCAAUGGUUUACUAAUUAACAAUCAAAAUGUGAAAAGAUGUUCAAAUGAAAUGAAUGGAUUUGAAUCAACCGUGAGAAAGGAAAUGAUAUACACAGGAAACAUAGAGAGUCCUAGAGAUUGAAAGGAUCAAGCAAAAAAGCAAAAAAAAGUAGGAGAGGAACAAGCUUCCUCUUCCUCUCCAUCUUCAUCUUGAUCUCUCCUCAGACGACGAUGGUGAUGCUGAUAAUGAUGAUGAUGAUAAAAGUGGCACGGGUGGAUCAAAAGCUGGCCUAAUCCUGUCAUCCGUAAACCACAAAAAUCAAUCAUUAUUUUUUACUCUUCCAGCUUUAAUGGAUCAAUGUUUUCACUCGAAUUGGGAUAAGAUGAAAAAACAAGAGUGAUUUAACCCGUGUCUACUCUUGAUACGAUAGAGACGGAAAUUCCGUUUUCCGUCAUUCCCAUCCGAUGAGCCGAUUUUGCUUUAUUGACCUGAGCAUCAGUGGCUUCCUUUUUCACCAUCUUCAUCUCAUCAUCUUCUACCCUUCAUUUGUCCCUCUUUAAAAGUCAUGGAACAAUUUUGCCUCAACUUGGACCAAUCAAUAAUCACGAAUGUUGAAAUGCAUCUCAAGGUUUUUACCUCAACGCGUGGCAGACACAAGCAAAUUUGAGCUAAAUAAUCAAUGGAUGGAUUGUCUGUUUUUGAUGCUCCAGUUGUUUAAUACAUUGAAAUGAUAACCUCAACUGGAUUGAAAUGCAUCAACAAUUUACAUCUCAUUCCUGUCUUUUCAAUAACAAUCGUACAAACAACUAAAUGUUGACAUGAAAAACAAAACCAGCAGCAAGGAGAAAAAAAGGUUCCAUGAAAAGAGGAAAAUCUGAAUUUAAUUCCAUGUUGCCAAGUUGAUUAACCUUUUCUGACCAAUUUGAUUGUCUAAUGAAUUCAACCAUAAGUUGAACUAGUCAUUAACAGCAAAUAGGUCCAUCAUCAUCAUCAUCAUCUUUAUUAUUAUCUUUUUUUCCCCUCUAAACCCUAAUAAUGCAAGCAAAAUCAUAUUAUCAUCUUUACUCAUCUUUUUAACAUCAUUUGGAUCAUCUGCAAAUCCUGAGAUUACAAAUUUAUACGAUAAACGAUUCAACGAUAAAUGGAUUCACAUACUUUAACAGCAAUUAAUUUCAAAUCAAUCAACUUCACUUUUGACAAAAGCAUACAUUUGAGCUUAAAUUUCAUUUGGAAAACAACAAUUGGAUUGAACAACAAACGAAGAGCGGAGAGUUUGAAAUGAAAUGAAAUAUUAUCAUCUGGUCGAUCAAUUAAACAGUGGAAAAACGUUUAAAUCUAAAGCUACAACAAUCUAUUUUCAACCUGUUGGUGAUGAUAAAUUUUCAAAUCCUCGGUGAAUCCUGUAAACAAGUAGAGAGAGAGAAAAAAAUGAAACCAACUUGAACUCAAUCUUUUGGAUAAAAUUUUUACUGCUCUCAAUCCAGGGAAAAGAAAGAUUGUAAAAGAGAGAAUCACUUUGAACUUCAUGGAAUUUGCGCACAACAUGGUGUUCCAAAGCCUCAGCCCACUUGUAACGCUAUUGGCUUCAAGAAUCCUCUGGUAUAAAAAACACAGAAACAGAAUCAGAGGGAGCAAAAAGAGAGGAAAGAAAGAGAAGAUAAAUGUUCCCUAGAAGACGCCUUUUAUUCCCUUUCUCAGUUUCUCCCUUCAAAUGAUCCAAUAGAAUUGAUCUAUUCUUUCAACUCUCUCUUUCUCACUAUUCCGUCUUCUCUCCCACAUCUUCUUCAUCAUCGUUCUCAUCUUCAUCUUCACCAUGUUCAUUAUAGCUUAGUUUUUAUUUACUAUUUCAUCCUAAAUAAGGAGUAAAUAUUGUUACCCAUUUGAUUGACAAUUUUACUCUCAGCAUGUUUCAUUCAUUUAAGAAAACCAUUACCAAUCAACAUUUUCUUCCAAUCAAUUUGCUCUCUUCAUCCAAAUCUUGCCCUUCAAGCCUUUCAUCCUUCAUCAUGUCAACCAAAUUACCUAAACUCCUUCUUCUUCUUCUUGAUGUAACUUUUUUUCUUAAAACAGUUUCCAAUCUUUUCUUACUUCUCUUCCAUUCAUUAUCCUUUCCAUCCUUUCACCAGUUUUCAUUGUCUUUUCCUCUUCUCGUCACUCAUUCCAUGAUUAUCAUCACCAUACUCAUCAACUUGCUAAUAAAUCUUUCAAGUUAUUAAUAUUCUAAUGCACAUCAAUCAGAGUAAAAACCGUUUACCAUGUUAACAGGUCAAAAAAAGGUAACUCACAAAGGUGAUGAUGAUGGAAAGAGAGAGAGAAGAAGAAGAAAAAAAGUUUGUCAACAUUUAUCAUGUUGAUCAUUUUUUUGAUCAAAGGCAAAACAUUCACACCAAUUGAUCAAUUUUUACAUAUAAAGUUUACCUGUCAAAAGGUGAACAAAGCAACAUCCUCACAACCUUUAUCAAGACUCUUGUAUCAUGAGUUUCAUCAUCAUUCUCAUUAUUAUCAUUAUUAUUCAGUUCAACUUAAGAAACAUGGAAACAUUGUUAAACCUUAAACAAGGCUGAAUGAAAGUGCAAUGAAACACAAAUCUAAAAAAAGAGAGAAGCAAUUUUGAUAAAUCACUUUUAACCAUUUCCUAUUUGUAUUUUAUAACAAAUAAUUAUCAAUUUAGUUGACAAAAUUGAAUCAAUUGAAUAGCAAUUGACUCUCGUUUGAAACAAUCAAUAAACUAUCGAGAAAAUAAAAGAGACUCUUUAACAUCUAAUUGAGUCUAAAGAUAUCAUCAUAUGGUAAUAAUAAUUACAAUGAUAAUAAUAAAUGAUGAUGAUAAUAACAAUACAAGAAUGAAAAAAAGCGACAAUUUUUUUCUCUCUCUCCUCAUUCUUAACUUUUCCCUGUAACACAAAAAGACUGAGCCAUUGUGAUUCAUUGAUAUUAUAAUAACCUAAUGAAGAAACAAAUUGUUCAUUAUCAUUGAUAAAUAUCAUUCUCAAUGAAUAAGCAAACCUUCAAAACUGUCAAGACUGAGGAUGAAAAGGAUUGCCUUUGAAGCAACACAAAAAAGCGAUAUUCUGGUGCUGAUGAUUCUAAUGAUUCUGAUGAUCCUGAAGAUGAUGAUCUUAACAUGAUGAGUGGAAAAGACACUGAAGAAAAUUGAACAUUUUCUCAACUCAACUCAUGAAACUGAUUGUCUCUUAAAUUUGUAUCUCUUUUUUUUCGCCUCAAUUUUUUUCUCAUCCUUUUUUCAUCUUCACCAUCUCUUCAUCAUUCCAUCUUCAUUUUCCCAUUUCAACUUUACUCUUUUACUGGGAUCAAUGUUAAUCUAUAGUAACCUUUAUAGGUUUUAUUUUAGGAAAAAUGUUCAAGAAAAUGAAGAGAGAAAAAAAUGUACACAGAAAACAGAAAAGACCAGAUAAGAUGAUGAAGAUGAAAAUGAUGAGAAAAGGCGAAAGGAAAA